rnacentral:rRNA from 1 species
CCUACGGGGGGCUGCAGUGGGGAAUAUUGCACAAUGGGCGAAAGCCUGAUGCAGCGACGCCGCGUGAGCGAAGAAGGCCUUCGGGUCGUAAAGCUCUGUCCUAAGGGAAGAAAAGGACGGUACCUUAGGAGGAAGCCCCGGCUAACUACGUGCCAGCAGCCGCGGUAAUACGUAGGGGGCGAGCGUUAUCCGGAAUUACUGGGCGUAAAGGGUGCGUAGGCGGCCUUUUAAGUCAGAUGUGAAAGGCUACGGCUUAACCGUAGUUAGCAUUUGAAACUAGAAGGCUUGAGUGCAGGAGAGGAGAGUGGAAUUCCUAGUGUAGCGGUGAAAUGCGUAGAUAUUAGGAGGAACACCAGUGGCGAAGGCGACUCUCUGGACUGCAACUGACGCUGAGGCACGAAAGCGUGGGGAGCGAACAGGAUUAGAUACCCUAGUAGUC